GACGAACGCUGGCGGCGUGCUUAACACAUGCAAGUCGAACGGAAAGGCCCUGCAUUUUGGCGGUGCUCGAGUGGCGACCGGGUGAGUAACACGUGAGUACGCUGCCCUUGACUUUGGGAUAUCUUAAGGCAACUGGGGCUCAUACCGGAUAGGAGUUCCUGCUCCAUGGUGGGGGUUGGAAGGUUUCGGCGGUUGGGGAGGGACUCGCGGCGUAUCCGCUUGUUGGUGGGGUAGUGGCUUACCAUGGCCUUGAAGGGUAGCAGGCCUGCGAGGGUCACCCGCCACAUUAGGACUGGGAUACGGCCCAGACUCCUACGGGAGGCAGCAGUGGGGAAGAUUGCACAGUGGGCGGAACCCAAAUGUAGCAACGCCGCGCGGGGGAAGACAGCCUGCGGGUAGGGAACCGCAGCCGCCUGUGACGAAGCGUGAGUGACGGUAAUGGGUAAAGAAGCACCGGCUAACUACGUG
rnacentral:rRNA from 1 species